rnacentral:lncRNA from 1 species
GCUAUGAUCCACUAUUCUCAUAGCACUACUAAAAAAAAAAAAACUCCUUCAAUAAUGUUCAUCUUACUCUCCUCAUUCUAAUACCAUAAUCCAAUGUUUAUUCUAACAUUCUUAGCUUUUGAAGGCUUUAUGAUACCCUCUCCAUUGUCAAUCCUUCUACAUCAUCUCAUCCAUCAUUUCUCUCACACCUCCUCUUUCAUACAUCCCUUGCCCCUUGCCAUGCUCCAUCUCAUUGCCUCUUCUUAUGUCAUGCAUCCUCCUCACCCUCA